rnacentral:rRNA from 1 species
CUUGGUCAUUUAGAGGAAGUAAAAGUCGUAACAAGGUUUCGUAGGUGAACUGCGGAAGGAUCAUUAUUGAUUGUGAAUUGUUGCCUUCAGUGCUGGCUCCGGCAAGUGCACGCUGGUGACUUCAAUCCAAUACCCUUGUGAACCAUUGGCCUCUUGCUAGCUUCGGCUGGUAGAGGAUAUUUACACCAACUCGAAUGUAAUGAAAUUAUUGUUGUGCGCAAGCACUAAUGUACAACUUUCAACAACGGAUCUCUUGGCUCUCGCAUCGAUGAAGAACGCAGCGAAAUGCGAUAAGUAAUGUGAAUUGCAGAAUUCAGUGAAUCAUCGAAUCUUUGAACGCACCUUGCACCCUUUGGCAUUCCGAAGGGUAUGCUCGUUUGAGUGUCAUUGUACUCUCACACUUCCAAUUCUUUGGAUUGGGAGCGGUGGACUUGGGCGGUGGCUGCUUUACUGUGGCUCACCUCAAAUGCAUUAGUGCAACCCUUGGUUAGACAUAGUACGGCGUGAUAAGUAUCUUCGCUGGCGCCUCACUUAGAGGGUGGCUGAUCAGGAGCUCUGUGCUUUCGAACUGUCUUCGGACAACAACUGACAACUUGACCUCAAAUCGAGUAGGACCACCCGCUGAACUUAAGCAUAUCAAUAAGCGGAGGA